GGAAGUGACGCUGUUGUAGGAAGUGUUCAGUGGAGCGCGCGGGAGUUUAUUGUUGCUAUCUAGGGAGCUAGUGUUUAUUAGCGUCCCAAUAUUAUCCAAAUAACACUAAAAACAGCAGAGGAGUUUGUUGAGAAUGGCUCAGCUAAAUGAAGUGGACUUACCGCCGAACCUGUCAUGUCUCAAACCUAUGGAUACUCUCCUCCGAUGUCCCAUCUGCUUUGAGUUUCUCAACAUCUCCAUGAUGACCCAGUGUUCACACAACUUUUGUUCUCUGUGCAUUCGGAAGUUUCUCUCCUAUAAGCUGUUGUGUCCUGUGUGUAACUCGCCAUCAACAGAACAAGACCUCAGGAACAACAGAUUAUUAGACGACUUAGUUCAGAGCUUCCAGACGGCAAGGCUAAAAUUGUGUCACUCAAAUUUGGAAUCGCCCCCCAUUUCACCUGAAACCCCGACUAUGGUGAUCAAAGGCAAAGCAGCGAGACAGAAGGGCCUUAAAAAAGAAUCGAGCAACCUCAGUCAUUUUUUUCAGAAGAAGACCUCUGUGACUCUCCCGUCAGAGACUCUUCACGCCUCAGUCAAAUCCGAACCUAUGGAGGUGUGUGUUCAGCAACCUGGCAUCUUCAAGCAAGAGAGUCUGGAGGAUGCGAGAAACAGAGUGAAAGAGGAGAAGAUGGAUGUCACUGCUUUUCCUUCCACAUCACAAAGCUGUAAGCCGGCGGUUAAAGUGGAAUGUCCUGUCUGUGGAGUAGGUGUACCCGAACAGCACAUUAAUAAACAUCUGGAUAUGUGCUUGAACAGAGACGAUAAGAAGGAAGGAUUGAGAAGCAGUGGAAGACGAAAGGCAAUGCCCAAGCUGUUGUACACUUUGAUAACUGUGCCAAAGCUCAAGAAGAUGCUUAAAGAAUGCCAUCUUUCUGCUCAAGGCAACAGAGAGCAACUCACGAGACGCCAUCAAGAAUUCACGCACAUCUAUAAUGCCCAGUGUGAUGCACUCAACCCUAAAUCAGCUGAAGAAAUCGCCAAAGAAGUUGAAGCCAAUGAGCGACUAAAGAAUCAGCUGGACAGUAAACGGAAACCUGUAAUCAUCACUACAAAGAACCAGACAGCCGAAGAAAUUGAGGAGGUGCACUCGAUGUAUCGUAAGCAGCACAGUAGUGAGUUUUCCCGUCUAAUUGCCCAGGUCAAAGGUCGUCUGGAGACUAAGAAAGCACAGGUGAAACAAGAAGAGGGAAAUUCAACAGAGGAGACAGACUCUAAAGGUGUAAACUACAGCAUUCAGAACAGUUCCCUUCCCAUUUCCACAUCACUGAAGGUGAAGAGUGAAGACACUGUAAUUGAGCUUCCACCAAGAUCAUCAAGCCCUGCCAUCAGUGAAGUGUCAGUCAGCAGCUCCAUCUCUGAUAUCUUCUGUUGAAGACAAGACAGCAGCUACUCAAAUUUAAAGGAUUUUAUGAAGUGAGGGGAAAAAUAAAUGUCUGAAUACAUUUCAAGGUAACACUAUAAAAACUACACAUUAUGAACAAUUUAUUAAGCAUUUUUCAUUCUCUUUUUUGUUAGAUUUAAAGGAUUUUAUGAAGUGAGGGGAAAAAUAAAUGUCUGAAUACAUUUCAAGACGUGUUGAGCGAGUUCUUCUUCCCAGACGUCCAGAGCAGUGUUACACAGGGAGGUCUACUCUAUCAGGGAAGAUGUUUGAAGACCCUGCGAGAGACGACGUCCUCCGUUUAUUAUGUAACAAAAGUAUCAGGUUCAUGUUUUCAGUUUCCUGAGCCGAGCGUGUGGUUUAAAUGUCUGGAUUCUAUUGACAGCAUGUUAUGUACGAUAGUGUUUUUAUAUAAUUUCAUCAUAAUUUUCUCCAAUAAAAGAGAGAAAAAACA